rnacentral:rRNA from 1 species
CAGCACCUCAAGUGGUCAGGAUGAUUAUUGGGCCUAAAGCAUCCGUAGCCGGAUCUGUAAGUUUUCGGUUAAAUCUGUACGCUUAACGUACAGGCUGCCGGGAAUACUGCCGAUCUAGGGAGUGGGAGAGGUAGACGGUACUCGGUAGGAAGGGGUAAAAUCCUUUGAUCUAUUGAUGACCACCUGUGGCGAAGGCGGUCUACCAGAACACGUCCGACGGUGAGGGAUGAAAGCUGGGGGAGCAAACCGGAUUAGAUACCCGAGUAGUCC